AACGAACGCUGGCGGCGUGGAUAAGACAUGCAAGUCGAACGGGAACUUCAGCUGUAGCAAUACAGUUGAAGUUUUAGUGGCGAACGGGUGCGUAACACGUGGGCAAUCUGCCGAGAAGUGGGGGAUAGCUCGCCGAAAGGCGAAUUAAUACCGCAUAUGAUCAGCUAAGACAUCUUAGCGACAUCAAAGCCGGGGCAACCUGGCGCUUUUUGAGGAGCCCGCGGCCUAUCAGCUAGUUGGUGAGGUAACGGCUCACCAAGGCUAUGACGGGUAGCUGGUCUGAGAGGACGACCAGUCACACUGGAACUGAGACACGGUCCAGACACCUACGGGUGGCAGCAGUCGAGAAUUUUUCUCAAUGGGGCAACCCUGAAGGAGCGACGCCGCGUGGAGGAUGAAGGC
rnacentral:rRNA from 1 species